rnacentral:rRNA from 1 species
CCGUAAGUAGCGGCGAGCGAACGCGGAUUAGCCCAAACCAAUAAAGUUUUCUUUAUUGGGGUUGCGGACAUAUCAUAACGAAGAGGUAUCGUAAUUGAAGAGGUUUGGAAAGACCCACCACAGAAGGUAAUAGUCCUGUAUGUUAAACGAGAAGACUUUAGAUAUGAUCCAGAGUACCACGGGACACGUGAAACCCUGUGGGAAGCAGGAGGGACCACCCUCCAAGGCUAAAUACUACCUAGUGACCGA